CUUUCAGCUGAGAGGCGUUCGCCAUCAGCAGCGCCACGUCCAGCAUGCUCUCCGCCACGCUCUUCUUAGUGGCGUAAUGAUUCAUGUUGAGAGGCUCUGCGGGCUGAAAGAGACAAAGCAUUUCAAAUGAAAUUCAUGCAUGCUUAUUCCACCGACGGUGUGCUAUCUUCAGUGGAGGAAAACAAGAGGCCAUCUGCUCUCGUUUUUUAGAAGCAAUAUCAGCGGUUUCCAGCAACAUCUGUACUCUGUGAGAUAAGAUCCUUCAAAACCAGAGAGAGGUUCUCGGUGCAAGUGGAAAAAAGCUAAAUGAACCCGUUUGAAUGUCAAAAGUACUGAAUAUAUUCAUUUCUUUAUAAUUAAUACUUCUUUUUCUUCUGCUCAGGACAAACACUCCAACCAAAUACUUCAUUAAAACACACACACACACACGUUUGUUUUGAUAUAUAUGUGAAGACUUUGAUAGGCUUCUAUUGUUUUUAUACUGACCUAACAAUAUUUUUAAUCGCCCUGCACCUUUUAUGCAUGCUUUAAUAAUUUUCAGUCACAAAUGUCAGUGUUUACUAUCCUUGUGGGGACAUUUGGUUGGACUAAGUUGUCCAUAUCUAUCAAUAGAUGGCAGCAUUUCACUAUUCAUUUUUUCAAUCUGUAACUUACUUUUACAGUAACCAUCUGGGGGCGCUAGAUAUCCUUUCAUAAUCAUCUUUGUAAUGAUUUAUAUACAUAUAUAAUGAUAUAUAUAUAUAUAUAUAUAUAUAUAUAUAUAUAUAUAUAUAUAUAUAUAUAUAUAUAUAUAUAUACUGUAUAUAA